UACGUAGGGUGCGAGCGUUGUUCGGAAUUACUGGGCGUAAAGCGCACGUAGGCGGCGAUUUAAGUCAGAGGUGAAAGCCCGGGGCUCAACCCCGGAAUAGCCUUUGAGACUGGAUUGCUAGAAUCUUGGAGAGGCGAGUGGAAUUCCGAGUGUAGAGGUGAAAUUCGUAGAUAUUCGCAAGAACACCAGUGGCGAAGGCGGCUCACUGGCCCGGAACUGACGCUGAGACGCGAAAGCGUGGGGAGCAAACAGG
rnacentral:rRNA from 1 species